UGGGGAAUUUUGGACAAUGGGCGAAAGCCUGAUCCAGCAAUGCCGCGUGUGUGAAGAAGGCCUUCGGGUUGUAAAGCACUUUUGUCCGGAAAGAAAUCCUUGGCUCUAAUACAGUCGGGGGAUGACGGUACCGGAAGAAUAAGCACCGGCUAACUACGUGCCAGCAGCCGCGGUAAUACGUAGGGUGCAAGCGUUAAUCGGAAUUACUGGGCGUAAAGCGUGCGCAGGCGGUUUGCUAAGACCGAUGUGAAAUCCCCGGGCUCAACCUGGGAACUGCAUUGGUGACUGGCAGGCUAGAGUAUGGCAGAGGGGGGUAGAAUUCCACGUGUAGCAGUGAAAUGCGUAGAGAUGUGGAGGAAUACCGAUGGCGAAGGCAGCCCCCUGGGCAAUACUGACGCUCAUGCACGAAAGCGUGGGGAGCAAACAGGAUUAGAUACCCUGGUAGUCCACGCCCUAAACGAUGUCAACUAGUUGUUGGGGAUUCAUUUCCUUAGUAACGUAGCUAACGCGUGAAGUUGACCGCCUGGGGAGUACGGUCGCAAGAUUAAAACUCAAAGGAAUUGACGGGGUC
rnacentral:rRNA from 1 species